UACUAGAUUGUGGGGUUUGUUUUGUGCUUCAAUUUCGGACUUUCUUCUCUUUUUGAGUUUUGUUUUAUUGUUCUUUUAGUUAUGCUGAAACCUGAAUGGAAGUAAAUUGCCACAAUUAGGGAAAGCCUUGUGCUUUUUUCGAGUUUCUGUAGUAAAUGAUGAUAAAUAUAUUACUGAAAGUUGAUUUUAUAACUAGAUUGCCCGUUUGUUUUGUCCUUCAAGUUUUGAUUUUUCUUCUGUGUUUGAAUUUUAUUUUCUUGCUCUUUUAGUUCUGAAACCUGAAUCAAAGUAAGUAGCCACAAUUAGAGAAAGCUUUGUACCUUUUUGGAGUUUUUGUAGAUAAAUAGUGAUAAAUAUAUUUCUGAAAGUAGUUUUUAUUGGACUUUAGUGGUUUGCUGUGAUAAAAAUUGCAUCUCUAAGGAUUUCGAACAAUUAGAUCCAAAAGAGGAAAAGAAAAAAAGGGAUUUCAACUGUUAGUUAUUGUUUUUGUCCUUUUUUCUUUUCUUAAUAUAAAUUGCUAAGCUGUGAGAUUUAAAUUUCGAGUUCAUAUGUUUCUUUUUAGAGUACUACGAUGAACUUUAUAGAUUGGAUCAUCAUAACACAUACACACUGUGGUGGUUUAAGUAAUAUUCUUUUACAGUUAUUGCUUGGUCAUUGUCAAUGGGAGGAUUUUGGAGAAAUAGAAGGAAAUGAAAUUGAGGCUCGAAUGGAAAAAGAUGCAGAUCUUAUUGUAAUCCUUGAAAGGAGUAUAGGAAUAUCUACUUAUCAAGGUACGAACGCAUUAAACUUUUUAUCAAUGUAAUUUGGAAAAUAACAUAACAUUAUACAAGCUAUUUAUUACACAAGGUUGUCAUUGUAGAUUAAGUUCAAUUCAACAAUAUAAUAUGAGUCUGAAAUUAGGAUGAACCUUCGCUCUAAUAUCACGUGAAAAUAUGAUUCUGGGCCUAACCCAUAAUAUGAGUCUGAAAAAAGGAUGAACCUUGGCUCUAAUAUCACCUGAAAAUAUGACUCUGGGGCCUAACCCAACCUUAAACGCUAGCUCACAAUGGGAAUUAUCCAAAGAGACUAUCACUCAAUUUCCCGACCAAUGUGAAGCUCUAACCUGUUCUAACGAAGAAAAAUGAUCAAGAAACCGGCAACAUAGAUCUCCUAAACUCAUCAUUGCUAAGGACAAAGCAAACAAAUGAUUGGAAUUUCAGAAUGGUAGCUUACAGUAAGAGAAAAGUUCCAUUAGGUGUUAGUUUCUCAUAAAUCCAUUCGAGAGCCAAUUCUAGCAGUAAUAGGAGUUGUUCAACUUCACCUGCAUUAAUGAAACAUCAAGAUUCAGAAAGAAGCUCCAAUGAAUCUCAGAAGGAGUACAGGCUUCUGAAAAUUGUCAACCAGGCUUACUUUUAUCCGUUCUCUCUAAAUGGCUUGAAAUUACUCUGUGCAUGAGCUCCUCUUUCGUCAUUACUGACAUUACAUCAUUAUUCUCUAGCUUUAAUUUGUAUUUAAAGAACCUACCGAAUACAUUAUUUUGUGUAACAAUAGGGUAAAAGGAAACAAAAUGAUGUCUUUAAGUCCCGCGUCAGCAAAAACCUCAACCAACUCAUCUGCCCCUCUCAUGGUGGUGAUAGCUGUAGGGCAACAAGUUAUCCCUAUGGCAGAAAUUUUAUCACCAGCUUCUCUAAGACAUACUUUGAGCUGAUCAUUUGAGAGUAUGCUUAUUAAUUUUUGGUGUAUAGAUUAAUUUUACUUAACAAGGUCUUGCUGCUUGAAUUAGGUUUUUUGAAUUUACUUAUGAAAGACGUAUGAGUUUUAACUUCAAGUUCUAUUGAUUUUGACUUAAUGAUAUCUUUAUAUUUUUAAAUAUAUUUUCGAUUAUCUUAUUCUACUUGUGAGUUUCAUUUUUUGGGGGGUAUUUGAGUGACCCAUAAUUUUGUGCAUGACUCGGGUUGUCUAGCUUUGGCUAAACCAAAGAAAUAACUUAAAUUUAUUCAAGAGUAAUUUGAGACAUUUUGUGUAUGUGAUUACUGAUGUAUACAAUAUGUAUGUAUUAUAUAUGUGAUUUUUAUUUUUCCGACAGAUGGAACUCUUCUAUGUUGAGGAAAGGAAUGUCAAUAUCAAAUGAGCUGCAAGAGUUUUGUGUGCGUGAAUGCUCAUGCUGCAAACACAAGAAGUGCACAAAGGAUAAAAAGGAUUUUGAAUACCCAAAAUGUAAUCGGAAGACAACGCGCAUCUUUGAAAUUGAUCUUAUUGAUGGCAUUGCUUCGGCCACAACAUCCAUUUCUGGUGUAUUGGGAGAAAAAUUAUUCUCCGUGACUGCAGAAAACAUAUUUGACAUAACUUGCAUUAAGAAGCAAUUGUUGCAUGUUAACAAUGUCCAUAAGAUGUUGUCGAAUAAACUAUUUCAAAUUCAGCUAAGGAAGUCAUCUUUGGGCAGCUCAAAUACCACACAUACAACUUUGUCAGUUCUUUCCUACGUUCAAAAGGAACAGACUCUUACGCCCAGCACUACUGAGAGGGAUUCCAAAAAGAUCAAGCCUCUAGGAAUCAGUGAGGUGAGAAGCAGGAAACAACUACUGCAUCUGGUUUCUCACAUGAGAAGCUGAAAUUUGAACCAUCCACAUUAACAAAAAAGGUGUAAAAGGUGAAGGAGAAAAGUCGAAAGAGAACAGGACAUAUAAUCGUUAUUUAUGGAAGUUGGAUACAAGAUUUGAUGUUGGACUUAAUUAAUGUGUAGAAUGGCAGUUAAGAUGUUGGUAUGCUGCCAUCAUCAAUUGUAUUGAUUCAUCUAGAUGAUUAGUACAAGGUAAUUUCCUGUGAAGAUUCUGUUAGUGUAUUACGGAUAAGGCGGCACAAUGGAUAUUUUAUCUUUCCGUUUCUUCUCUUCUUCUGACAGUUGUUGCUCCGUGUAUUAGUUAUGGUUUCAGGUAAAUGAAUUGUGGCAGGCAUUUGCUAAUUCAGUUUUCUCUUAGACUAUUUAAAAAAAAGUAAAUUUGGAAUUAAAGAAAGCAUCUCUCUGUUUUGUUAUAUUACUAUCGAUUACAUAUGUAUUAAUAAGCUUGCUGCCGCACCUUCUUUCUUGGCUUGGUUUGGAUGGAUGCAAAACUCCAUAUUGAAAUAAAUAUUGUGAGAUCUUAACAUCUCUGGCUUCCACCUUCUGCAAUUCAAUCAAGAUGUGAUCAGACCAAUCACUACUUACCAUCGCACAUCCUCUGUUGAAAAUUGAAAUUUUAAAAUCAAAGGACAAACAAGUUCCCAGUUUGUUCAUCCAAAAGUACAUGAUGAAGACUUUCAAUCUUUCUUACGAAAAUGAGCUGGCAGAAAUUGUCAACCAAGGAAAAUUGGUCUCAGAAACUCGAUUCAUGUCAUAUGGAGAUAGACGAGCAAGGACUGAGGCUGGAGUUACUUCAGCGCUGCUUGAAUCGACCCUUCUAGGUGGGCAUCGAAAAUCUUGGAAUGCUUGAGAGUAGACAAAGCAUCAUUCCUUCGACGUGCAGGUAAUGUAGAGAAUAAGAGAAA